AUGAACGCUGGCGGCGUGCCUAACACAUGCAAGUCGAACGGAGAUUACGGACGGAAGUUUUCGGAUGGAAGCCUGUAAUUCUUAGUGGCGGACGGGUGAGUAACGCGUGGGCAACCUGCCCUAUACAGGGGGAUAGCAGCUGGAAACGGCUGGUAAGACCGCAUAAGUCGGUUAAAUCGCAUGAUUUGAUCGGGAAAUGAGCAAUCAGGUAUAGGAUGGGCCCGCGUCCGAUUAGCCAGUUGGCAGGGUAAAAGCCUACCAAAGCGACGAUCGGUAGCCGGACUGAGAGGUCGGACGGCCACAUUGGGACUGAGACACGGCCCAAACUCCUACGGGAGGCAGCAGUGGGGGAUAUUGCACAAUGGAGGAAACUCUGAUGCAGCGACGCCGCGUGAGUGAAGAAGUAUUUCGGUAUGUAAAGCUCUAUCAGCAGGGAAGAUGAUGACGGUACCUGACUAAGAAACCCCGGCUAACUACGU
rnacentral:rRNA from 1 species